GUGAGGCUAGGGAGAACUGAGGACUGCAAGGCAGAUCUUGAGCCAGUCAGUUGGUUUUAAUUGCCACAUUGGGACCCAGAGGUCUCCAAGCUCUCUUAGUUAUCAGUUCUGUCUCCACUGCUCUUAAAGAGAUUGUGGUAGUAUCCCCAGGGGAGAAUUGGUGUGCUUAGCCUUAGAGUCAGAAGGUGAUCUGACAAUACACCAGCUUCUUCCUGUUUUCAUCUGGUUAGGGUGAUUGAAUCAGAGUACAGUGGGAAAAUGCUUUAGCCUCCUGUUGAGGGUUGAGGGCAGGAACCAUACAGAAGCAUGACUUCUGCAGAACAAGACUUCAGUGCAAGCCCUCCACCCCACAGAUGAAGUCAGGAUCGAAAAAGAAACUGUCUUUCCCAGACAUCUCUGAACGCUACCAGUGUUAAACAGGUCCCACGUUAUCUUGAAGGCAAUAGAAUCAAGGAAGGUAAAUUUAGCAGGUUUUUUUCAUAAAACUAUGGGUGAGAACUGACUGGGUGUGCCACUCUGGCUUCACAAAACUCAAUUCCUAUGAUGCCAUUAUAUGUAAAGUGACUUUUAGAACCAGGGGACCCAGAACAGAGUCAUGAUCAAACUUAUUGCUGAUAAAUCAAAGGAGGUUUCUUGGAGGAGUGGACGCCUCCUGGAACUUGGGAAGAUCCAUCAUAUUUGGUGACAAUGUUCUGUGUGGGGAGUUAGAAUUACAAAGCAAUUUGUUAGUUCAUCGUUUGAAUAUCAAUUAAGCUGUCUUUGACUCCAAAGGUAGUUUUCUGGUCCUACACUAUAAGACAUCAGUGCAUUGUUAUGAAAAACUUUAAAAGAGCCUUGAAGAUCACCCUUAAUAUUUGAGGGGUGGGAUGGAAAUUGUGUGAUUUCUAAUGUGAGAUGAUGGGGUAUUUUGAGGGAUUGAUUGAGUCUGUGCAAGUGCAGACUGUGAUGAACAAU
rnacentral:lncRNA from 1 species